GAUGAACGCUGGCGGCGUGCUUAACACAUGCAAGUCGAACGAAGCACUUUAUUUGAUUUCCUUCGGGACUGAUUAUUUUGUGACUGAGUGGCGGACGGGUGAGUAACGCGUGGGUAACCUGCCUUGUACAGGGGGAUAACAGUUGGAAACGGCUGCUAAUACCGCAUAAGCGCACGGCAUCGCAUGAUGCAGUGUGAAAAACUCCGGUGGUAUAAGAUGGACCCGCGUUGGAUUAGCUAGUUGGUGAGGUAACGGCCCACCAAGGCGACGAUCAGUAGCCGGCCUGAGAGGGCGACCGGCCACAUUGGGACUGAGACACGGCCCAGACUCCUACGGGAGGCAGCAGUGGGGAAUAUUGCACAAUGGGGGAAACCCUGAUGCAGCGACGCCGCGUGAGCGAUGAAGUAUUUCGGUAUGUAAAGCUCUAUCAGCAGGGAAGAUAAUGACG
rnacentral:rRNA from 1 species